UUGCUUUCUUUGCUGGCGACCGGCGCACGGGUGAGUAACACGUAUCCAACCUACCCUUUACUCGGGGAUAGCCUUUCGAAAGAAAGAUUAAUACCCGAUAGCAUAAUGAUUCCGCAUGGUUUCAUUAUUAAAGGAUUCCGGUAAAGGAUGGGGAUGCGUUCCAUUAGGUUGUUGGUGAGGUAACGGCUCACCAAGCCUUCGAUGGAUAGGGGUUCUGAGAGGAAGGUCCCCCACAUUGGAACUGAGACACGGUCCAAACUCCUACGGGAGGCAGCAUG
rnacentral:rRNA from 1 species